rnacentral:misc_RNA from 1 species
GGAUAGUUGUCUUGAUCAAGUAAACCCAUCGUCUUUCAUUGUUCCUUACCUGAAAUCUGGUCUUGAUGGUAAGCAUUAAAUAGGAUCCUGAUGAUGACGACCACUCGUCCUCUUGUUAAUUAAUAUGAUCCAUUCGCCCAUUCAUUUUCCCAUUUGUUUUGUUUUUAUGUGGGAGUGUCAUGUUGGGUUUCUUCAUUUCAAUCACAUUUGGGGGAUUUUCACUAGAAAAUUUCACCCUUGAAUAUAUUCUAUCCAUGUCACUGAGGGCACAUACUAAUGAUAUUGUUCUUUUCCUACUACUGUAAUGAUCUUCUCACACUUACAAGUGUAAUUCUUCUUUAAGAACGAUAUUUAUCUCCAAAUGAAUUUCAAUCUUAAGGAGAAUCCUUUGUUUGAUUUGCUUCAAUCUGAUGUUUUGUUUGAUUUAGUGUUAGUGUUAUUAUUUAAUGCAUAGAAUUAGAAUUGUGAUACCUAGAGCUGUUGAUAUUAAAAAGAGUAAAUGUAUUUUUCAUUUCUCAUUGAUAUUUAUCAACUCAGCUGACUUGGUUUUUUGUGAUGUUCUAGAUCAUUAUGAUGUUAAAAUGCCU